rnacentral:rRNA from 1 species
GACGAACGCUGGCGGCAUGCCUAACACAUGCAAGUCGAACGAGACCUUCGGGUCUUGUGGCGCACGGGUGCGUAACGCGUGGGAACCUGCCCUUAGGUUCGGCAUACCUCCCCGACAGGGGUGCUAAUACCGGAUAAUGUCUUCGGACCGAAGAUUUAUCGCUUUGGGAUGGGCCCGCGUUGGAUUAGCUAGUUGGUAGGGUAAAAGCCUCCCAAGGGGACGAUCCAUAGCUGGUCGGGGAGGGGGAUCCGCCACACUGGGCCUGCGAAGCGGCCCCGGCGCGUCAGGGAGGAAUGAGUGGGGGAUUGAGGCAGCGGGGCGGAGGCCUGACUGGGCGACGCCGCGUGAGGAACGAAGUCCUUAGGUGGGUAAAGCUCUUUUCGCUGCGAUGGUAUUGACGGUACCGGGGGAAGAAGCUCCGGCUAACUCCGUG